UUUUUGUUGUUGUUGAUCCAGCUUAGAAACCUUGCUUAUUUUAUGUCUGACAAUUUUAUAUUCUUUUUUUCAGCUUUUCUGAUUAUCCCAAUUACAUGUGCAUAAUAAUGUACAAUGCACAAUUCAACUCCAUGCUUACGCAAAGCAUUUCGGUUGGUAAUGUCAGCUUGAACAAUGAAUGAAUUCAUUUUUAUUAUUCGUCCCUUCACUUCAUGCGAUGUGUAUUUUAGCUAUUUACCAACGACUGUGAAAAACAAAUUCAUUCAAAUGCAAUAAUCAGCUGUUAACGACAUUAAUUAGAUAUAUAUUAAGAAGAUCCUUUGGAAACGUAGCACGCAAACAAAUUAAUGCAUGAUUUUGGUUAUCACGAUAAAACAUUUAAUUUAUUAAUAUUAUGAUUUUUAAGCCUCACAACACGUCAGAACGAUCAUAUUAAUAAUUUCGUGUAUGAAUCCAAAUAUGUCAUAAUUAAGAACUAAUAUAUAGCAGAACCAUGUUUUAACAUAAUAUCGAAACUUGAAUACGAUGAGGUUAUACACUUGCGGAAUAAUUUCACGAGGGUGUAGCCUUUAAAUCAUUAGUCACUCUUUUGAUUUUGUAGGAUGAAAUUCAUGAUGAACAUUUGGAAUUUGAUGACAAUUCUAAUCUGGGUGGAAUAUAUUUCAUCUCAAAAAGAUUUCCAUCUUCAAAGUGACGAAAUACCAGCAAAUGCAGACUUCGAACAACCCAUACUUAAGGAAGCAACCGAUGCUAAAGAUACUGUCAUUAUUGCAGCAUCUUGCUCUCUUGGUUUUGCUAUGGUUGCUGUUAUCGUUUUGUUUGUGAUAUUAUGCUGCCGAAGAAAAGCAUGGACCUUCAGGAUAAAGGAACCAGUUCAAGAAAUAAAAGAUUUGGAAUUAAAGGAAAUUAUCUGUCAAGAACAACUUGAGAGUGGCCCUGAUUUGGUACAACCAUUGAUCGAAGAUGUAGCAAAGGCGACCAGUGUUACAGUCCCUCACGCCUAAUGCAUGCAGACAGAAUGACGAUAGCGAGGAGAUAUACUCGAAAACCUUUUUUACUCCAUACUAAUGACACUUUUUGUUUUUAACCCUGUAAAAUAUUGACAUAAGUUAAGGAAAAUAAGUUUGUCGAAAUUUGGGGGUUGGGGGGGGGGGAUAAAACAAAAAUCCAGGUGUGGAGUUAAAAAUGUUGUUGAGUAUAUUAGUUAGCUUUUAGUGUUAUCAUGUCUUGACUAAAUUUAGUACUGUACAUAUUUUUUGGUCUUAUUUCAUCCUAACAUCAUUGAAGAUACAUACUGAUCUCUUCCAAAAAAGUACACAAAUAAUGCAUUGUCUUUAAAAAGCCUUUAAAGAGCAAGUUCGAUAUGUAUUGUUUUAGUCACAUUUAUUUCAAUAGUAUUAAAAAAAGUAAAAUUACCUUGUAAACCUCAUUUUUAAUCCCCCGCCAAGAGUGGUGGGGGGUUAUAGGAAUGGUCUCCGUCCGUCCUUUCCGUCCUUCCGUCUUUCCGUAACAUGUUGUGUCCACUCUGGAUUUUCAAGAAACUUGGGUCAAAUGAUCACCUCAUCAAGACGAUGUGCAGAACUUAUGAGUCAGUCAUGUUGACUCAAGGUCAAGGUCACAACUCAAGGACAAAGGUUUGAGCCUUCCAUUUUGUGUCCACUUGAUAUCUCUUAAACCCCUUGAAGGAUUUUCUUGAAACUUGGGUCAAAUGAUCAACUCAUCAAGAGGAUGUGCAGAACUUAUAAUUCAGCCAUGUCUGCUCAAGGUCAAGGUCACAACUUAAGGUCAAAUGUUUGAGCCUUCCAUUUUAUGUCCGCUCUAUAUCUCCUAAACCCCUUGAAGGAUUUUCAUGAUACUUUGGUCAAAUGAUCACCUCAUCAAGACGAUGUGUAGAGUUUAUGAGUCUGCCAUGUUGGCUCAGGGUCAAGGUCACAACUCAAUGUGAAAGGUUUGAACUCUAUAUCUCCUAAACACCUUGAAGGAUUUUCGUGAUACUUAGGUCAAAUGAUCACCUCAUCAAGACCAUGUGCAGAACUCAUGAGUCAGCCAUGUUGGCUCAAAGUCAAGACCACAACUCGAGGUCAAAGGUUUGAGUCUUCAAUUUUGUGUCCGCUCUGUAUCAUUGAUGUCGACAUCCGUGGACUAUAAAAUAUAAUUAACAAAGUCCACCCAAUACCAUCAAUCCUUUCACUAUCCAUAACAGCGGCGGGGAAUAUAGCUGUCUUUCAGACUGCCUUGUUUUCUUAAAUCUUGUUAAACGUUUGAGCAUUUUUCAGUACGAGUAUUCGUUAGUGUGAAAUAAUGUUAUUGUACUUGUGUGAUUUUAUUGACUAUCUAUGGUAUACAGAAAGUGUAGAAAAAUAUUGGUCUAUCUAAAUCUGUGUAAAUUUGAACCAUGAGAGCAGUUAAUCAUGCAUAGUAGACAUAAUGAUAGCGCCGAUAUAAUGUAUAAAUAACUAGAUAAAAGGCCCUCCGAAUAGACAAUUUGGUUUGAACACAAGACCAUAAGCAUCAGAACACAACUAAAGUGUUAUGUAAAUAUAAAAAAAAACACAAAAAUAAAAAAAGACCUCAAACAACUACGGUGGCACAGAGGUGACAUAGAUGUUUUUCAUACUAAUACAUGCGCACGUAAUAACUAAUACGUGCGCACGUACCAGUAUAAAAACAUCAGCGCAAAUAUCAGUACGUGCGCACGUACUAGUAUAAAAACAUCUUCGCACGUAUAAAGUAAUACGUACGCACGUAGUAAGUUAUACGUUCGCAGAUGUUUUUUAUACCAAUACGUGCGCAGAUGUUUUUUAAACUUACAUGUGCGCUGAUGUUUUUUAUAACAAUACGUACGCAGACGUUUUUAAACUAAUACGUGCGCACAUAUAAGUUAUUACGUGCGCACGUAAUAAGUUAUAUGUGUGCAGAUGUUUUUUUAAACUAAUACGUGCGCACGUAUUAUAUAUUACGAGAUGUUUUUUCUACUUAUAUGUGCGCUGAUGAUUUUUAUACCAAUACGUGUGGUGAUGUUUUUACGUGCGCACACAAUAACUUAUACGUGUGCAGAUGUUUUUUCUGCUAAUAUGUGCGCUGAUGUUUUUUAUUCUAAUACGUGCGUACGUAUUACUUAUUACGUGCGCACGUAUUAGUAUAAAAACACUUAUGUCACCUCUGUGCCACCGUAAUGCGAACAACUGAUGCUGUCACGGUUAAUUUUAUGGGAAGAGUACUGGACUAUAAAUAUAGAGAGGUUAUGAUUUCAGCUCUGGGCGAGAUGACUGUUGGUAAAAGGUAGAAGUGUCAGAAGCCAUUCAUCAGACCCAUGGAGAAUUUAGGUUACAUGCAAAGAACAAGUCACUACUGUUGAAAAAUCUGAGAACACUGAUGAGAUUAACUAAGUUGUCAUCAGAUAGCAAUAACUGAAAACGGCAAUAGAACCAUGUCAAACGAUUCAAACAUUGCGACAAACGUUAGUCGUUUAUAUAGUUGUUUCAAUGCGAAUGAUCUAGCCUGAAAUACACAAAUGCGUGGUUUUGAAACUGGAAUCUUAGACACGAGAAAAGGUCCAAAAGUCGGGUGAAUGUUUCGCUACAUAAUGAUCACAUAGAUAUGUAUGUAGUCAUACGUUGUCAUGAGAUCAUGACUACAGUUAUGCACCGAUCAUGGUCAAAAUGACAAUACUUGAUUCAUAUAAUGACGUCAGUGUGAUGUAGUAUGGGCUUAUUAAAGAUCUAAGAUAAGGGUAACGUUAAAGUAAAGGAAAAAACAAAACAUACAAAAACAAAAAUGAAAUAAAACCAAAUACUUCAAAUGAUUUAAAAAUCGUUUGUGGAAUAAAAAUAUUUGUAUAAAAAUCUUUAUACAAAUAUAAUAUGUAAAUACCUAUAAAAGAUGAUUUCUACAGUUUACUUUGCUUUCACAGAAUUUCCUAAAUAUUUGCUCAUUUGUAGACAAUGACCGAUAAAUUCAAAAUAACCAAUAAAUUUAUUAGUUACCGUGCUCCUUCAAUUCUAAGUGAAUUUCAAACAAAACCUACAUAAGAUGCAGAAAGUCUAUUUAUUUUACAAUUCUACAACUGCAAUCAGAAGAGUUUUAAUACUAAAUGAAACGGAUAAAUGUCUAAUAGGAAGAGCCCAGGUACCAAGAACGAAUACCCCUAAAGCAGCAAUCAAAUAGCAGAUUUGACUUCGUACUGUAAUACUGACUGGCAGAAAAUUAUCUUUUAAGUGAUUUUAUUCGGGUUUUUUUUUGUCUCUCUAUCUCUCUCUCUCUCUCCUUGUGAAAACUAGCUCUAGAUUUAAAAAUAAACACCAAACAUACGGGGAUUUCGACCGUUCAAAAUGAAAAGAAGCAUCUUUUUACAAUACUUUCUUUGUUUAAUCUUAAGAAAUAAUGUACUAUAAAAUAUUCUAUUCGAAGAAAUCACGGUUUCAGAAUGAAGAAUUUGACAAACUUUAAAGAAAAGGAAACUGUAGAAAUCAUUUUUAAGUUAAAAAAGAUAAAAAAAGGCGUUUGUACAGAGUAAAAUAUAUUGAAUAACAUAUACUUAUCGAAACAUCUAACACCACCUCGAUAUUUGGCGAUAUAUUUCAAAAUUCUAAAGUACAUUUUUUUUCAAAUCUAAUACACAUUUAGGACAAUAUAUUGUUAAUAUCAUAUUAAAAUGUCAAUAAAACCAAUCUGAAAAAAGAUAUCAUUUCAUUCAUUUUCGACUUCUACAUUUUUGAAACUCGCACAAAUACACAUAAAAGUAGUGAUUUUAUAAAUUAUCCAUUUAAAAGGACUGACUGUUCACUGAUAUAUGUUCAAAUAUCAGUCCAGAUUUAAAAAAGAAGAAUUUUUUUUUCUCAAAAUUGUCUUGCUUUAUAAUAAAAUUCCCUCGUUUGUCAAUUGCAUACAUUUAUGUAAUGUCCUAGUAUAAACAGAAUGAUAUCAUAGCGGCAUUCGAUCUUGUUGAAAGUUCGUGGGUUUUUUUUGGUUUUUUUAUACUGAAAACUUCAACAAUGUACUAUAUGUUCAACAAUGUACUAUAUGUACUAUUUAUAAUUAAAGGAUAUUGACAACGAUACUGAGCGGGCGUUAGAAAAUUGUUUCGUUAGGUAUUAUAAUCAAGGAUGUAAACGUCAAUGUGUUUCCAUAUUUACAUGUAAUCUUUAAUUAUUUCCUAAAUUGUUAUUAUGCUAAAGUUGGCAAUACAUUAUUACCAAAAAUAAUCAAAUUUAUGUUAUGCUGUGUGAAUUUGUAAACUAGAAAAACAAAUGCUGUAAUUUACGGUACUGUAAUGCUGCUAUACAAUUACGUUUAUCCAAGCAGCAAUGCCACAUAUAGGCGUAUUAGUUACCAAAUUCCGAUUACAAAGACAAAAAGGAACAUUUAUUAAACUUACUACAAUAACUUCAUUUGUAUGCUUCAUUUACUCUCAUAAUUGUGUUCUUGAUAACUCUCAAACCUUUUUAUUGUUUUACCUGUAGACGUGUCUGUUUAAUUGGAUUUGUAUUUUCAUAUUGAUACUCAGAAUGCUUAUGGAUUAUAUGUAAUUGAGCACAACCUUUAGAUCAAUGUUGUUGUAUUUUCAUAUAUGUAUAAAUUAUAUGCUUGUUAAAAUAAUUAUGUAUUUAUUUGUACUGAUCUUUUUAUUCUGCACUUCUUUUUAUUUUUUGUAGAAUCAUAUUAAUAUCCUAGUGUACUUAGAUUUCAACAAAAUAUCUGUUCACGUGUAGUAUGUAGGCGACUAAUGAUGCAGCACUCUUUCAUAAAUUAAAAAAGUCACUAUUUUAUUUUAUCUAUUUUUUAGACAAGUAGCUUCUUAGAUGUCAAAUAACUCUUAAUCCACAAAGUCCCUAAGUCCGUAACAUUUUGUGUACUUGUACCGAUCUUGCAUUUCUUUUUCGGCAAGAUGAGACUGAUGACGCAAUAUUGCUUACACUUUCUUUUUUCAGUUUUCAGUUCUUUUGUUUUGAGUAAUUAUGAACUCGGGACUUCAACGAAAACCUCUGAACCACUUAUAUCUGGGUGUCCUAUCUAAAUAUUGUUGUGACUUUUUCUUUUGUCAUACUACAGAUAAUCGAUCAAAAGUUUGUAAAUAAUCUUAUUCUUGUUACACGUGCUGUUUGUACUGUUCUGUGACGAAAUGAAUUCAUUACCUGUGAAAUGAGUUUUCGUCAUAUGUUUACAGAAUUUUGUUAGUCCUUGUCCCAAACCUUUGCUUUUGCUUAAUCCUAUGAUCAAAAUAUCGACCAACUGACCGACCAACAUGUACCUACCUAGUUAUGUUUCCGACAACUAAAUAUUUAUAUGUCAGAAACGGGAAAAUAAAGGGUUGUUUUAAAGCAAAUGUAAUAAAAUACUGCCAAGUGCAACUAAAUAGUUUCAGUUUUCCAAAAAGUAAAUAAAAGUUCUACUUUGAAAGUGAAUUUCAGUUAUAAAAUACUACAUUUUGUACAUUUCGUUGCUUGUUAUUGUAGUUUUAUUUGGUUACGUUUCCCGCUUGCUUAUACUUGAUAACUUGGAAUUUGUAUUUUAAAUGUAGCUUGAAUUGAUUAAAAUUUCUUGUCAA